CAGUGAUAAGGUCUUAGCUAGUGAAUGGGUCUAUUAUAUUGUUCUUGGUAUCAACUCACUCCAUGAUCACAUCGCAUCUUUCAAUUAUCUUUCAAAUGAAGUGGAACCAUCUUAGGAUGUGCAUGGAUUUAUGAUGAGAUCUCGAUUCUUUGGCUUGAGCAACUGUCUCAGUAUUGUCACAAUAUAGGGGCACCAGUUG
rnacentral:lncRNA from 1 species